GCAUUAAUGGGGUAGUGGUAACCUGGAUCGUUGCCAUCGAUCCGCCGGGGGUUCGAUUCCCUCUUAAUGCA
rnacentral:tRNA from 1 species